AUGAGACAUACAGGUAUCUGCUUUGCAUGCUCUGGCAAAGCUCUGAUUUGUCACAAACCGUCAGUCUGUGAAGCAGACCCAUGGGGUUACAGUCUUGCAAGCCUUGCAACUCCUGCCUACAAAGUAAAGAGGAAUGCAGUCCGGCUGGUGGCUGCAGCUCCUGUUUGUGUGACGACUGGAGAUAUUGUUCUGACCGCUGCUGUGACAUCUGCUGCCAGAUGUGUGUGGACGUGUGCUCUGGCUUGUGUUCAGGAGACUGCAGCUACACCUUCUGUACUCUCUGUCUCAGCCUGGCACAGAACUGUGUCUCACUUUUUACCACCCAGCCAAGUGAAACAUCAGAGGCACAACAUACUAUAAUGGAUUCAGAACAGCACGCAUACUGAGCAUUUGACUGACAAAAGAUGAAUUGUUUUUAGAACUCACAAAAGUCACUGUGGAGCCAGGCCACGGUCUGCUGUCUGAUGAGGACGGAGAUGAGAAGCACAGAGACUUUGACAGCUGGUGAAAAGAGAGCUGUCUGCAGACCAGAGUGGCCAUGUAACAAUGGGCUUUACAAUCAGCUCAAUCUUAUCACUGCCAUCAAAGCUGAACAAAAGCUCUCUGAACAAAACAGACUUUCCUUCUCCUGGGUCACCCCCAUGCGAUGGCAGAGAUCAACCCCACUUAACACUUGUGUCACCGCCUUACCAGCCUCAUUUCAUGUGGAUGGAUUUAUUUCUAUGCAUCUGGAUAUUUGGAUUACAAAAAAAGACAUCUAUUCUUCAUCAUUCUUUUUCAAUACAAUAUUUUUAAAGAGACAAAUAGGAUUCCCUAACAUCAACCCAGCCAAAGUGCUGCAUUUCUCACAUCUGGAAGAUUAAAUUGAUGUGUAGAAAUGGCCUCAUCCUUGUAUACAAGCAGUUCUUCAGAACACUUGUUAAAUGUCUGAAAGAUUGUUUUGCACUUUGAGGCAAACAAAAAUAUAAUUUGACUGCACAGUGUACAAUCUAAUAUUUCUUUGCCAGAUAAGGGCGCCUGAGGACACAAGGUGCUAUUUGCUUCCACUGAAUUAGACCUUUUAUUAUCUUCCACGAAAUUGCAACUUUAUGGAAAUUUUAAUGAUUGAGAGAGCCAUGUCCCAGCAUCAAAAGAAGCCUAGAACAAGGUCUUACAAGGGAAAUCUAACACAGAGAGUACGCCCAGCUGUAUUGUGUCCCCGACUGUACCCAUCACGCUCCUGUUUUCUCCUCCUUCCAGUCCCUCUGGACUCUGUGCAUUCAGUCCAACUCAAAUUUGUAUCCUUCUCAAACUUAGCAGAGCUCAGUAGAGACUAUAUGGCCUACUUUACUCAUCAAGCUGACCUUAUCUUUCUUGCAGUUUGUGUCUGUAUUUAUCAUAGUUAUAUCUGCAGUAAAUCAUGUGAAUCCAAAAAAAAUUGUUCAUACUUCACUCACCUUAACUGAGAUUUUCUCUUGUGUGUUGUUUCAUCGUAUAUAUUUUUUUUCUGUGUAUUUGCUUGAAAUAUCUAGGGAGUAGAGGAAUGGAGUUGUGAAGUCUUAAUCUGAUAUCAAAGGUCCAAUAGGAGCUCUGGUGUAAAUUGAAAUAUUGUUAAAAAUGAUGCACCGAGAUCAAUAAAGAUUGGGUAAAAGCAGUAAAGCAGUA